rnacentral:rRNA from 1 species
GCAUUGCCUGCCCAGUGACAACUGUUUAACGGCCGCGGUAUCCUGACCGUGCAAAGGUAGCAUAAUCAUUUGUUCUCUAAAUAAGGACUUGUAUGAAUGGCCACACGAGGGUUUUACUGUCUCUUACUUCCAAUCCGUGAAAUUGACCUUCCCGUGAAGAGGCGGGAAUACACAAAUAAGACGAGAAGACCCUAUGGAGCUUUAACUAACCAGCCCAAAGAAAAUAAACUUAACCAUUAAGGAGUAACAAUAAUCUCCAUGAGUUGGUAGUUUCGGUUGGGGUGACCUCGGAGAAUAAAAAAUCCUCCGAACGAUUUUAAAGACUAGACCCACAAGUCAAAUCAUUCAAUCGCUCAUUGAUCCAAAAACUUGAUCAACGGAACAAGUUACCCUAGGGAUAACAGCGCAAUCCUAUUCAAGAGUCCAUAUCGACAAUAGGGCUUACGACCUCGAUGUUGGAUCAGGACAUCCUGAUGGUGCAACCGCUAUCAAAGGUUCGUUUGUUCAACGAUUAAAGUCCUACGUGAUCU